AACCUUAUGGACCUGCGGGCGUAUACCUGCGGAAGGAUCAUUACAGAGUUAUCCAACUCCCAAACCCAUGUGAACUUAUCUCUUUGUUGCCUCGGCGCAAGCUACCCGGGACCCCGCGCCCCGGGCGGCCCGCCGGCGGACAAACCAAAACUCUUGUUAUCUUAGUUGAUUCUCUGAGCGUCUUAUUUAAUAAGUCAAAACUUUCAACAAUGGAUCU
rnacentral:misc_RNA from 1 species